CUGUCAUCCUCAGACUGGGCACGGGAUGUCGGCCCUGAGCUUUCUCUGGAGGCGCUGCAAGAAUACUUCCAGCUAUGGGCGCAUGUUACUCGUGUGGAUCUGAUUCCGGGAGCCAUAGACGAGAUUAGUUGGGCCCGGGAGCCGGAUGGAAGGUACUCUUGUAGAUCUGCAUAUCAGGCCAGAUUUUGGGGCCGAGAAAUGUCACCGACAACCAUCUUCAUGUGGUCAUCCAGGGCUCCGCUCCGUUGUUGGUUCUUCACUUGGCUUGCAAUAUAGAGCAGAUGUUGGACGGCGGACCGGCUGGCCCGUCAUGGCCUUGACCACCAUGACGCUUGCCCCUUCUGCGCCCAGCAAGAGGAGACCAUUGGACAUAUUCUCUUAAACUGUGUUAUGGCAAGGAAGGUGUGGACAAUUGUUUGUACGGCUUUGAACAAGCCGGGAUGGGUUCCGACAAGCGAAACAAACUUGGUGGAUUGGUGUGCGGAGAAGAACGGCACAAGCAAGAGCAUGAAGGAGAUGCAGACGAUAAUCCUCCUUGUUGUGUGGGAAUUAUGGAAGCACCAGAAUGCCAUCGUUUUUUAUGGUUCUACCCCGUCCCUACGAGUUUUGUUACGAACCAUCGAAAGGGAUGGCCGAGCAUGGAAGGAAGUGGGACUUCGGAAUGGAGAUGUGGAAGCUCUCUUUAGGGCUUUGGCUAGGUGGGAGAGCAUGAGAGGGUAG
rnacentral:rRNA from 1 species